rnacentral:rRNA from 1 species
ACGAACGCUGGCGGCAUGCCUCACACAUGCAAGUCGCACGCGACCUUCGGGUCUAGUGGCGCACGGGUGCGUAACGCGUGGGAACCUGCCCUUAGGUUCGGAAUAACUCCCCGAAAGGGGUGCUAAUACCGGAUAAUGUCUUCGGACCAAAGAUUUAUCGCCUUUGGAUGGGCCCGCGUUGGAUUAGCUAGUUGGUAGGGUAAAAGCCUACCAAGGCGACGAUCCAUAGCUGGUCUGAGAGGAUGAUCAGCCACACUGGGACUGAGACACGGCCCAGACUCCUACGGGAGGCAGCAGUGGGGAAUAUUGGACAAUGGGCGAAAGCCUGAUCCAGCAAUGCCGCGUGAGUGAUGAAGGCCUUAGGGUUGUAAAGCUCUUUUACCCGGGAUGAUAAUGACAGUACCGGGAGAAUAAGCUCCGGCUAACUCCGUG